CUGGCUCAGGACGAACGCUGGCGGCACGCUUAACACAUGCAAGUCGAACGGAGUUAUUGAGAGCUUGCUUUGAUAACUUAGUGGCGGACGGGUGAGUAACACGUGAGCAAUCUGCCCUUAAGAGGGGGAUAGCAGUUGGAAACGACUGAUAAUACCGCAUAAGAUAGUAGUACCGCAUGGUACAGCUAUAAAAGAUUUAUCGCUUAAGGAUGAGCUCGCGUCUGAUUAGCUAGUUGGUGAGGUAACGGCUCACCAAGGCAACGAUCAGUAGCCGGACUGAGAGGUUGGACGGCCACAUUGGGACUGAGACACGGCCCAGACUCCUACGGGAGGCAGCAGUGGGGAAUAUUGCACAAUGGAGGAAACUCUGAUGCAGCGAUGCCGCGUGAGGGAAGAAGGUUUUAGGAUUGUAAACCUCUGUUGACAGGGACGAUAAUGACGGUACCUGUUGAGGAAGCUCCGGCUAACUACGUGCCAGCAGCCGC
rnacentral:rRNA from 1 species